UACAGGGGGGCAAGCGUUGUUCGGAAUUACUGGGCGUAAAGGGCUCGUAGGUGGCCGACUAAGUCAGACGUGAAAUCCCUCAGCUUAACUGGGGAACUGCGUCUGAUACUGGAUGGCUUGAGUUUGGGAGAGGGAUGCGGAAUUCCAGGUGGUAGCGGUGAAAUGCGUAGAUAUCUGGAAGGAACACCGGUGGCGAAGGCGGCAUCCUGGACCAACACUGACACUGAGGAGCGAAAGCCAGGGAGCAAACGGG
rnacentral:rRNA from 1 species